UACGAAGGGACCUAGCGUAGUUCGGAAUUACUGGGCUUAAAGAGUUCGUAGGUGGUUGAAAAAGUUAGUGGUGAAAUCCCAGAGCUUAACUCUGGAACUGCCAUUAAAACUUUUCAGCUAGAGUAUGAUAGAGGAAAGCAGAAUUUCUAGUGUAGAGGUGAAAUUCGUAGAUAUUAGAAAGAAUACCAAUUGCGAAGGCAGCUUUCUGGAUCAUUACUGACACUGAGGAACGAAAGCAUGGGUAGCGAAGAGGAUUAGAUACCCUCGUAGUCCAUGCCGUAAACGAUGUGUGUUAGACGUUGGAAAUUUAUUUUCAGUGUCGCAGCGAAAGCGAUAAACACACCGCCUGGGGAGUACGACCGCAAGGUUAAAACUCAAAUGAAUUGACGGGGACCCGCACAAGUAGUGGAGCAUGUGGUUUAAUUCGAAGAUACGCGCAGAACCUUACCAACACUUGACAUGUUCGUCGCGACUCUAAGAGAUUAGAGUUUUCAGUUCGGCCGGACGAAACACAGGUGCUGCAUGGCUGUCGUCAGCUCGUGUCGUGAGAUGUUGGGUUAAGUCCCGCAACGAGCGCAACCCUCACUUUUAGUUGCCAUCAUUAAGUUGGGCACUCUGAAAGAACUGCCAGUGAUAAGCUGGAGGAAGGUGGGGAUGACGUCAAGUCCUCAUGGCCCUUACGUGUUGGGCUACACACGUGCUACAAUGGUAUCUACAACAGGAAGCAAGACUGCGAGGUCAAGCAAAUCCUUAAAAGAUACCUCAGUUCGGAUUGCACUCUGCAACUCGAGUGCAUGAAGCUGGAAUUACUAGUAAUCGUGGAUCAGCGUGCCACGGUGAAUGCGUUCCCUGGGUCU
rnacentral:rRNA from 1 species